UGGGGAAUCUUGGACAAUGGGGGAAACCCUGAUCCAGCCAUGCCGCGUGAGUGAUGAAGGCCUUAGGGUUGUAAAGCUCUUUCGCUGGGGAAGAUAAUGACGGUACCCAGUAAAGAAGCCCCGGCUAACUUCGUGCCAGCAGCCGCGGUAAUACGAAGGGGGCUAGCGUUGUUCGGAAUCACUGGGCGUAAAGGGCGCGUAGGCGGCUGUUUAAGUCGAGGGUGAAAGCCCGGGGCUCAACCCCGGAACGGCCUUCGAGACUGGGCAGCUCGAGACCGGAAGAGGAGGGUGGAAUACCCAGUGUAGAGGUGAAAUUCGUAGAUAUUGGGUGGAACACCAGUGGCGAAAGCGGCUCUCUGGUCCGGAUCUGACGCUGAGGCGCGAAAGCGUGGGGAGCAAACAGGAUUAGAUACCCCCGUAGUCC
rnacentral:rRNA from 1 species